rnacentral:miRNA from 1 species
UUGUUAACUUUGAUGAUGUGGCAU